rnacentral:rRNA from 1 species
AUUGAACGCUGGCGGCAUGCCUUACACAUGCAAGUCGAACGGUAACAGGUCUUCGGACGCUGACGAGUGGCGAACGGGUGAGUAAUACAUCGGAACGUGCCCAGUCGUGGGGGAUAACUACUCGAAAGAGUAGCUAAUACCGCAUACGAUCUGAGGAUGAAAGCGGGGGACCUUCGGGCCUCGCGCGAUUGGAGCGGCCGAUGGCAGAUUAGGUAGUUGGUGGGAUAAAAGCUUACCAAGCCGACGAUCUGUAGCUGGUCUGAGAGGACGACCAGCCACACUGGGACUGAGACACGGCCCAGACUCCUACGGGAGGCAGCAGUGGGGAAUUUUGGACAAUGGGCGAAAGCCUGAUCCAGCAAUGCCGCGUGCAGGAUGUAGGCCUUCGGGUUGUAAACUGCUUUUGUACGGAACGAAAAAGCUUCUCCUAAUACGAGAGGCCCAUGACGGUACCGUA